GCAAGGUGAGUAUGGUACAUGUAUGCAGUACAGGAUAUACUUGAGGAACUAGGACUGAGGGUGAGAACCCCUGUGCACCCAGGAAGAGGAACCAGGACUGAGGGUGAGAACCCCUGUGCACCCAGGAAGAGGAACCAGGACUGAGGGUGAGAACCCCUGUGCACCCAGGAAGAGGAACCAGGACUGAGGCUGAGAACCCCUGUGCACCCAGGAAGAGGAACCAGGACUGAGGUUGAGAACCCCUGUGCACCCAGGAAGAGGAACCAGGACUGAGGCUGAGAACCCCUGUGCACCCAGGAAGAGGAACCAGGACUGAGGCUGAGAACCCCUGUGCACCCAGGAAGAGGAACCAGGACUGAGGCUGAGAACCCCUGUGCACCCAGGAAGAGGAACCAGGACUGAGGCUGAGAACCCCUGUGGUAGAAGAGGAACCAGGACUGAGGGUGAGAACCCCUGUGCACCCAGGAAGAGGAACCAGGACUGAGGUUGAGAACCCCUGUGUACCCAGGAAGAGGAACCAGGACUGAGGCUGAGAACCCCUGUGCACCCAGGAAGAGGAACCAGGACUGAGGUUGAGAACCCCUGUGUACCCAGGAAGAGGAACCAGGACUGAGGCUGAGAACCCCUGUGCACCCAGGAAGAGGAACCAGACUGAGGCUGAGAACCCCUGUGCACCCAGGAAGAGGAACCAGGACUGAGGCUGAGAACCCCUGUGGUAGAAGAGGAACCAGGACUGAGGGUGAGAACCCCUGUGCACCCAGAAAGAGGAACCAGGACUGAGGCUGAGAACCCCUGUGUACCCAGGAAGAGGAACCAGGACUGAGGCUGAGAACCCCUGUGGUAGAAGAGGAACCAGGACUGAGGGUGAGAACCCCUGUGCACCCAGGAAGAGGAACCAGGACUGAGGCUGAGAACCCCUGUGUACCCAGGAAGAGGAACCAGGACUGAGGCUGAGAACCCCUGUGUACCCAGGAAGAGGAACCAGGACUGAGGUUGAGAACCCCUGUGUACCCAGGAAGAGGAACCAGGACUGAGGCUGAGAACCCCUGUGCACCCAGGAAGAGGAACCAGGACUGAGGGUGAGAACCCCUGUGCACCCAGGAAGAGGAACCAGGACUGAGGGUGAGAACCCCUGUGCACCCAGGAAGAGGAACCAGGACUGAGGGUGAGAACCCCUGUGUACCCAGGAAGAGGAACCAGGACUGAGGCUGAGAACCCCUGUGUACCCAGG